UGCUGACACAAGUUGACUAAUGUUAAGCCCAGAGCUUUAUUUAUUCCGGGGUGGGGCUGUAGAUUCGGAGUCCUGUUCAGAGGAAGUGAAGGAAUUUCACAUGAGUAACUGUUGGCACAUCUUGCAUUUCUGUGUUCUUGGUGAAAUGGGCUGAUGCUUCACAUGAAGCACUGUUUUUGUUGAUCUUUCUUUCAGGAAAAUGGUGUUGGAGGGUUUUGAGGGAGUCGAUUUUCUUACCCCCUCAAAUCCCAAAUGAAUGGAGAAAGAUAGAUGGAAUUCAGCAGGGGUGAUAUUUGCUCUCUACUGGAAAAACUGGAUAAAAUGGGAUUUGGCAUGAGGCUGCAAGGAGCUUUCUGCUCCUGCCUCUCUGAACCGAACCUUCAAGCUAGUUUGCGGGCCUGGAGGAUGGGCACGGCCUGAGACACCACCUUACAGUCUGCAGGGACCCUGUGUCUGGACAGAAGCUGAGGAGAGCAGAAGAGGGUCUGUGAGGAGCAGCUGCCUUUACCUCCAAAGCCCAGCUCUCAAGAAAAGAGGGCCAGCAGUUGUCAGACUGCCCAGCUUGUUGCAGAGUCUUCUUUACCCUUGUCGUGUGAGAGCUGGCAGGUGCUGGAGAGAAAGCAGCUGCCUCUCCCCACACAUUCCCAAGAGGGAGGAAGUGCUGGGACCCUCCUUGUUCAUUUAACAAAUGAUGGUGGUUGUUCAAACCCAGAAGAGGUUGGGGAGCUGAGGGCCUCUGACUCAGUGUUCUCUGCGAUGGAUAUGCCUGUGGAAGUAUCAUGUCGCCUAUACGUGAGUCUUACAAGUUGGGGAAAUACUUGCCUCAAAUUUCACUGUGCAAGGCGUGAUGGGCUCUCAUCCUGGGAGUAGCACAGGAAGGCGUGUGUGGAAGUGCCCAGAGCCCCGGCGCCAGAGCCCCUGGGUGUGUGACCUGCUGUUGCCACCCCACCACCUCACCGACACUGGGUGGAGGAGCACCCAAGCUGGCUGUGUGCGAGUGACUUCCUUUCAGCUGAGUGAUAAACGUCCAUCGUCCCAGGAGCACAGGUGUGCGGUCCUGUGUGCUGCUCCUGUGCAAUGUCUCCAGGGCCCACCUGUCCUUCAGCAGGUGGGCAGGUGAGGGGCGCCCGCAGGGAGGACAUGACUCCGCCCAAGGGGGGACCCCAUGCUGGAGACACCAGGAGAGAGGCCGGCUGAUGAAGAGGGAUCACCCCAGGACUUGGGACCCCCUGGAAGCCAGCAGGAGAGGAGACCAAGGUGCAGCCCCCAGCAGCAGAUGGGAGACGUGCGUUCUCUCUCUCUUCAGGGAAAUUCAUUCCAUUUCGGCUCUGACUGCAGCCAGGCAGGAUGAAAGGCAGAGGGAAUACAGAAUUGGCUUGGCAAAAUGAUCCCCCAAAUCUCCAUUCCCCCACCAACCAUGGCCUCUUCCUCAGCAGACCUUGGAGUCCAGGGUCACCAAGUCCUGCGGCACUAGCAGAGCUGAGUGGGAAUUCUCUCCACUGUGUGUGGAACGUCAAGGUCUGCCUGCAAUCUCUCAUUCUGAAUAUACCUCCUGGACUUGAGGUGUUUAUAAUUCUUCAACACACGGCACAAACACAUCCUGGAGGUUGGGGAAAUCUGACACUUGCAACAGGUUGUUGACAUUUAGCAGCAUUUUGGAGGCUGGUCUAAACCACUGGCUCUUAGUCAUCAUUUUCCACAAAUAAAUAAAGCUGAU